rnacentral:sRNA from 1 species
AGCUUCGACUAAGGUUCGAUUCGAGCGCAGCGAGAACGCGUUGCCGCAGGCAACGACCCGAAGGGCGAAGCGCGCAGCGCUGAGUCAUCCUUCCCCCACCACCA